UUCAUAUCUAUCUUUUCCCCUAGCUUUUGAGAAAAAGAAUAUCGGACAACUGAAAAUGACACCGAUCUUUAAAAAGCUAUUGCAACUAGGACAUCAGGAAAUGACAGCAACGUGAUUUUCCUGCAUUUUCAAUGGUUCAAAAGCUAUGAUUAUGAAACAGAAGACAUGAAAGGAUCGACUGAAUAACAUGUACUCCAGAAUGAGACCUAUAAAUUUCUUCCGAAUAAAUAAGCGACUACAAUCUUAAAAAUAAUCAGUUAGAACCAUCCAAAUAACAGAUUAAAUCAAAGAAUCCAAAGACAAAGCUAAAUCAAACAUAAGAAAUACGUGAGAAACGAGACGACAAGACGAUGAAUGGAAACAUAAAAAAUCAAACGAGAGUGGAAAAAAGGAGAGCAGUACCUGCUUAAUUCAAUACCCUAUCAGCGGCGAGCUGCGGCCCAGGCCAGCAAGAGCAAGCGGCGGGUGCUCUAGGGUUGUGUGUGUUGUACCGAAAGACAAGUGGGAAGAACACUCAACUCAAG
rnacentral:lncRNA from 1 species